GAUGAACGCUGGCGGCGUGCCUAAUACAUGCAAGUCGAACGGACGGACGCUAAGCUUGCUUCUCUGCUGUUAGCGGCGGACGGGUGAGUAACACGUGGAUCACCUACUUAUAUUUCUGGGAUAACUACGGGAAACCGGAGCUAAUACCGGAUAAUAUUUUGCACCGCAUGGUUCAAAAGUGAAUGAGGGUCUUGGUGUCACAUAUAGAUGUAUCCGCGCUGCAUUAGCUAGUUGGUAAGGUAACGGCUUACCAAGGCAACGAUGCAUAGCCGACCUGAGAGGGUGAUCGGCCACACUGGAACUGAGACACGGUCCAGACUCCUACGGGAGGCAGCAGUAGGGAAUCUUCGGCAAUGGGCGAAAGCCUGACGGAGCAACGCCGCGUGAGUGAAGAAGGUCUUCGGAUCGUAAAACUCUGUUAUUAGGGAAGAACAGAUGUGGAAUGAAACGUGGACAUCUUGACGGUACCGAAUCAGAAAGCAACGGCUAACUACGUG
rnacentral:rRNA from 1 species